CGGACGCUAUGCGAGUGUCGUAACUCUGUUCUUCAACGGCUCUGUGCCCGCACCAAUUUCUGCAGGCUGUAGCCAGUGGGCAAAAUGCAAAAAGUCCCAUGACUUGGCCUCGGCAUACAAUUUGGCUCUCCUUAAAAAACAAGAUCUUCAAGGGCUUACAAGUGGAGAACUGUUUCAACUUUUGCUUCAGAAUGAUCACUCAUUCCUUCCAGAGGUUUGCUUCCAUUAUAACAAGGGGAAUGGAGAGCAUGGCAGCUGUAAAUAUAAGACAUCUUGCACAAGCCUACAUCUCUGCCAGCACUUUCUCCAGGAGGACUGCAAGU